GAUGAACGCUGGCGGCGUGCCUAAUACAUGCAAGUCGAGCGAACAGAUGAGGAGCUUGCUCCUCUGACGUUAGCGGCGGACGGGUGAGUAACACGUGGAUAACCUACCUAUAAGACUGGGAUAACUUCGGGAAACCGGAGCUAAUACCGGAUAAUAUAUUGAACCGCAUGGUUCAAUAGUGACAGACGGUUUUGCUGUCACUUAUAGAUGGAUCCGCGCCGCAUUAGCUAGUUGGUAAGGUAACGGCUUACCAAGGCAACGAUGCGUAGCCGACCUGAGAGGGUGAUCGGCCACACUGGAACUGAGACACGGUCCAGACUCCUACGGGAGGCAGCAGUAGGGAAUCUUCCGCAAAGGGCGAAAGCCUGACGGAGCAACGCCGCGUGAGUGAUGAAGGUCUUCGGAUCGUAAAACUCUGUUAUUAGGGAAGAACAAAUGUGUAAGUAACUAUGCACGUCUUGACGGUACCUAAUCAGAAAGCCACGGCUAACUACGUG
rnacentral:rRNA from 1 species